GUGGGGCCCUGGAGGUAGCUGCUAGCCCUUCCCCCGUAGUACUGAGGGACGGCCUGCACUCCGGCGAACAGGGCAGCCACCAGGGCAAAGAGGAAACCCAGUUGGAAUUUCUGUGGAUGGGAAGAAGAGAGGGGUGAGGUUAGAGUGGGUUGGGUGAGGGUAGGCGAGGGAUAAGUUAGGUUAGGUUAGGUUAGGUUAGGAUAGGUAUAUCAGGUUAGAAAAAUUGAUACAAGGUUAGAUUUGGUUAGGUUGGGUUAGGUAAGAUAUGUGAGGUUAGAGUGGGUUGGGUGAGGGUAGGCGAGGGAUUGGUUAGGUUAGGUUAGGUUAGGUUAGGUAUAUUAGGUUAGAAAAAUUGAUACAAGGUUGGAAUAGACUAGGUUAAGUUUAUUAGGUUAGAAAAAGUUAUACAAGGUCAGGUUAGGUAAGGUAUAUUAGGUUAGGAAAAGUAAUACAAGGUUAGAUUAGGUUAGGUUAGGUUAGGUUAGGUAAAGUGUAUUAGGUUAGUAAAAUUGAUACAAGGUUAGAAUAGGGUAGGUUAGGUUAGGUUAGGUAAGGUGAGGUAAGGUCAGCUUAGGAAAAGAUUAGGUCAGGUUAGGCUAUAAUAGGUUUGGUUAGGGAGGGUUGGGUUAGGUAAGGUCAGCUUAGGGAAAGAUUAGGUCAGGUCAGGCUACAAUAGGUUAGGUUAGUGAGGGUUGGGUCAGGUUAGAAUAGGUUAGAAUAGUGAGGGUUGGGUCAGGUUAGAAUAGGUUAGGUUAGUGAGGGUUGGGUCAGGCUACAAUAGGUUAGGAUAGUGAGGGUUGGGUCAGGUUAGAAUAGGUUAGGUUAGUGAGGGUUGGGUCAGGUUAGAAUAGGUUAGGUUAGGUUACAAAAGAACAUAAGAACGUAAGGAGUCUGCAAGAGGUGGUAGGUCUAUACAAGGCGGCUCCUGUGAACCAAUUCUUGCCUGUGUCUUUGUUGAAUCUAAAUUGAUCUAAGUUAACAUUGCUACGUGUCCUACAGAACCCUAUUAGCAUUCCCCUUAUUAAAGCCCUUCACCCAUUUAUAAACCUCGAUCAAGUCUCCGCGCAACCUUCGCCUUCCUAGAGAAUGGAGGUUUAAAUGCUUAAGUCUAUCGUCAAGUUUCUCAACCCGUGAAUCAAGAUUGAAAAAGAUGGGGACGGGGUAUCGAAAACAAGAACUUCUGUAAAUUGGACAGGGUAGAAGUUAGGUUAAUCCCACCGCUACCACCAUUUUAAGAACAUAAGAACAUAAGAACAUAGGAGUUUGCAAGAGGCUGACAGGCCUGUACGAGGCAGCUCCUCUGAACCUAAGCUCCCGUGUAGCUCCCGUGUAUCUAACCCCACCUAAUAUCGCUGUCCAUGAAUUUAUCUAAUCUAUUUUUGAAUGUGACAAUUGUAUUGACACUCACCACAUGACUGCUAAGCCUAUUCCACUCAUCCACCACCCUGUUUGUAAACCAAUUUUUGCCCAUGUCCCUGUUGAAUCUGAAUUUAUCCAGUUUAAACCCAUUACUUUGUGUCCUACCCGGUUCUCUGAUCCGACUCAAUUACUCUACCGAUCUUGGUAUCAUCUGCAAACUUACUGACAUCACUACUAAUUCCUGUAUCUAAUUUAUAUGAAGAGAAUAAAGUCAGCGAGAGAGAGAGAGAGAGAGAGAGAGAGAGAGAGAGAGAG